GGGCAUCAAGAGAAUGAAUUGACAAAUUUUUUUGGGUUUCUCUAUGUCAAACCUGUUGCCACAGACUAUUUAGCAUAAAACGCUUAAUAUGCUCCACUAACGUCCAGUUUUUUAUUUGUUAGAAGACCAUUGAUAAGCUACCGUUCAUGGAUGGCAUCUGUUUAUGGAAAUUGUGUCCAAAUAUGUGUCUUAAUGCUAAGGCAAUUGCUAGGCAUAGAGAUCCCGCACGAAGGUCGGGCACUUUCUAAGGUCUGUUUAUGGUCGCCCCGGGGCUGUGGGUUCUAAUAUCUGGUGUCUGGGGUGUUAGUACUAGUGUUUAGCAUUAACAUAAAUUGCGAUUCAGUCCGAUCGGUAGCAGCUGGCCAUAGAAACUAGUAACAAUUUCAUUAGGCCAGCUGUCUGGCUGGCUGGAUGAUGUUUUAGCUUUUGAUCUAAGAUACUUUCAAUGCUUAACGAGGGCGAAAAGUGGUGGCGGCGGCUAAUUACAGCCAGCCGAGUGCCACGAGAAUCCAGAUCGUG
rnacentral:lncRNA from 1 species